rfam:Picea glauca, whole genome shotgun sequence.
ACAUGCCUACAACAUAGUGUUAAUGCAUCGAAUCCCAUUAGAACUCUGCAGUUAAGCACGCUCGGGCUAGAGUAGUACUGGGAUGGGAUGGGUGACCGCUCGGGAAGUCCUAGUGUUUUACAUGCC